rnacentral:rRNA from 1 species
AUGGGACGCACCGGUGCUGCUCAACUCAACAGAGUUUCAGAUUUGAUUGACAACUACACAGGGCACUGGAAUGUCGAUGUUGUGCGACAAAAUUUCCUUCAUCCCGACGCAGAGGCCAUACUUAACAUCCCUUUAAACCCUGCGGGAGGGGAGGACACGCUAGCUUGGGCUCUUGAAAGAUCAGGCAUCUACUCUGUAAAAUCCGCGUAUCGUUCUCUUGUGACUCGUAACGAGCUUGGUGCUCUAGAGGAAGGGACGAUCACAGAAUCAUCGUCGUCAAACAAAUAGUUGUGGACUGCCUUAUGGAAGCUUCAUAUGGUACCAAAGGUCAGAGUGUUU